CUUCAGCCACCAUCAUGAUUAUCUACCAGGACCUCAUCAGCUACGAUGAGAUAUUCUCUGAUAUCUACCAAAUCCAGGAGACUGCAGAUGGGCUGUGCCUGCAGUUGGAGGGGAAGAUGGUCAAUAGGACAGAAGGUAAUAUGAUAUACCAAAAGCACAGUAAUAACUGGUGUUGAUAUUGUCAUGAACCAUCACCUGCAGGAAACACGUUUCACAAAAGAAGCCUACAAGAAGUAUGUCAAAGGUUACAUGAAAUCAAUCAAAGGCAAACUUGAAGAACAGAGACCAGAAAGAGUAAAACCUUUUAUGACAGGGGCUGCAGAACAAAUCAAGCACAUCCUUGCUAAUUUUAAAAACUACCAGUUCGUUAUUGGUGAAAACAUGAAUCCAGAUGGCCUGGUUGCUCUACUGGACUACUGUGAGGAUGGUGUGACCCCAUAUAUGAUUUUCUUUAAGGAUGGUUUAGAAAUGGAAAAAUGUUAAUGAAUUUGGCAACUACUUUGGAUCUAUCACUUGCCAUCAUAACUGUCUUCUGCUUGUCAUCCACACAACACGAGGACUUAAGACAAAUGGGACUAAUGACAUCUAGAGCUUUUCAUUUAUUUUCACCAUUAUUUACUUGGAGUGGAGGCAUUGUUUUUAAGAAAAACCUGUCACGUAGGUUGUCUGAAAAUGAAAUGCAUUUAAUCUCAUUUAACAGAAUGCCUUUUAGUUUAAUACAUAUUUAAACUAAAUUCAUCCCAUAGUGUUCCUGGAGAAGCUAGAGCCUGGUUGUAAGCUACCACUAGAAAGAACAAGACUCAUCAAUUAACUUCUAUGGUGGAAACUACUUCUGCGACUGGAAUAUAAAAAAAGAAUCAAAUGAUUUGAUUGUGAGUUGCAUUAAAAGGAAAGGCCAUGCUCAUGGCAGUACCACAUCUGAAGUGGAGCCUUACUCAUUUCAUCACCUACAAUGGAAAUAGUUAACUGGAAGAGAUUACCAAGAGAAAAAAAAAAGACUAAUUCAGU